rnacentral:tRNA from 1 species
GCGGUAUUGGUGUAGAGGUAACAUAAGAGCCUUCCAAGCUUGGGUCGCGGGUUCGAUUCCCGCAUACCGCUCCA